rnacentral:tRNA from 1 species
GUGGUUGUGGCUCAGUGGUAGAGCGCUUGCCUAGCAAGAUGAGGCACUGGGUUCGAUCCUCAGCAUCACA